AGCUUGCUCCUGAAUUCAGCGGCGGACGGGUGAGUAAUGCCUAGGAAUCUGCCUGGUAGUGGGGGACAACGUUUCGAAAGGAACGCUAAUACCGCAUACGUCCUACGGGAGAAAGCAGGGGACCUUCGGGCCUUGCGCUAUCAGAUGAGCCUAGGUCGGAUUAGCUAGUUGGUGAGGUAAUGGCUCACCAAGGCGACGAUCCGUAACUGGUCUGAGAGGAUGAUCAGUCACACUGGAACUGAGACACGGUCCAGACUCCUACGGGAGGCAGCAGUGGGGAAUAUUGGACAAUGGGCGAAAGCCUGAUCCAGCCAUGCCGCGUGUGUGAAGAAGGUCUUCGGAUUGUAAAGCACUUUAAGUUGGGAGGAAGGGCAGUAAAUUAAUACUUUGCUGUUUUGACGUUACCGACAGAAUAAGCACCGGCUAACUCUGUGCCAGCAGCCGCGGUAAUACAGAGGGUGCAAGCGUUAAUCGGAAUUACUGGGCGUAAAGCGCGCGUAGGUGGUUCGUUAAGUUGGAUGUGAAAUCCCCGGGCUCAACCUGGGAACUGCAUCCAAAACUGGCGAGCUAGAGUAUGGUAGAGGGUGGUGGAAUUUCCUGUGUAGCGGUGAAAUGCGUAGAUAUAGGAAGGAACACCAGUGGCGAAGGCGACCACCUGGACUGAUACUGACACUGAGGUGCG
rnacentral:rRNA from 1 species